rnacentral:rRNA from 1 species
UACGUAGGUGGCAAGCGUUGUCCGGAAUUAUUGGGCGUAAAGCGCGCGCAGGCGGUCUUUUUAAGUCUGAUGUGAAAGCCCACGGCUCAACCGUGGAGGGUCAUUGGAAACUGGGGGACUUGAGUGCAGAAGAGGAAAGUGGAAUUCCAAGUGUAGCGGUGGAAAUUGCGUAGAGAUUUGGAGGAACACCAGUGGCGAAGGCGACUUCUG